AAGACCUUGCGCUUUUGGAGCGGCCGAUGUCUGAUUAGCUUGUUGGUAAGGUAAAAGCUUACCAAGGCUUCGAUCAGUAGCUGGUCUGAGAGGACGACCAGCCACACUGGGACUGAGACACGGCCCAGACUCCUACGGGAGGCAGCAGUGGGGAAUUUUGGACAAUGGGGGCAACCCUGAUCCAGCCAUGCCGCGUGAGUGAAGAAGGCCUUCGGGUUGUAAAGCUCUUUCAGCCGGAACGAAACGGUUACGGUUAAUACCCGUGACUACUGACGGUACCGGAAGAAGAAGCACCGGCUAACUACGUGCCAGCAGCCGCGGUAAUACGUAGGGUGCAAGCGUUAAUCGGAAUUACUGGGCGUAAAGCGUGCGCAGGUGGUUUUGUAAGUCAGAUGUGAAAWCCCCGGGCUUAACCUGGGAACU
rnacentral:rRNA from 1 species